AACGAACGCUGGCGGCAUGCCUAAUACAUGCAAGUCGAACGAACACUUCGGUGUUAGUGGCGCACGGGUGCGUAACGCGUGGGAAUCUGCCCUUGGGUUCGGAAUAACUUCGGGAAACUGAAGCUAAUACCGGAUGACGACGUAAGUCCAAAGAUUUUUCGCCCAGGGAUGAGCCCGCGUAGGAUUAGGUAGUUGGUGAGGUAAAGGCUCACCAAGCCUACGAUCCUUAGCUGGUCUGAGAGGAUGAUCAGCCACACUGGGACUGAGACACGGCCCAGACUCCUACGGGAGGCAGCAGUAGGGAAUAUUGGACAAUGGGGGCAACCCUGAUCCAGCAAUGCCGCGUGAGCGAUGAAGGCCUUAGGGUUGUAAAGCUCUUUUACCCGAGAUGAUAAUGACAGUAUCGGGAGAAUAAGCCCCGGCUAACUCCGUGCCAGCCGCCGCCGUAA
rnacentral:rRNA from 1 species